rnacentral:rRNA from 1 species
ACAGGGAUUGCCCUAGUAACGGCGAGUGAAGCGGCAACAGCUCAAAUUUGAAAUCUGGCUCUUUUAGAGUCCGAGUUGUAAUUUGCAGAGGGCGCUUUGGCUUUGGCAGCGGUCCAAGUUCCUUGGAACAGGACGUCACAGAGGGUGAGAAUCCCGUACGUGGUCGCUGGCUAUUGCCGUGUAAAGCCCCUUCGACGAGUCGAGUUGUUUGGGAAUGCAGCUCUAAAUGGGAGGUACAUUUCUUCUAAAGCUAAAUAUUGGCCAGAGACCGAUAGCGCACAAGUAGAGUGAUCGAAAGAUGAAAAGCACUUUGGAAAGAGAGUCAAACAGCACGUGAAAUUGUUGAAAGGGAAGCGCUUGCAGCCAGACUUGCUUACAGUUGCUCAUCCGGGUUUCUACCCGGUGCACUCUUCUGUAGGCAGGCCAGCAUCAGUUUGGGCGGUAGGAUAAAGGUCUCUGUCACGUACCUCCUUUCGGGGAGGCCUUAUAGGGGAGACGACAUACUACCAGCCUGGACUGAGGUCCGCGCAUCUGCUAGGAUGCUGGCGUAAUGGCUGUAAGCGGCCCGUCUUGAAACACGGACCAAGGAGUCUAACAUCUAUGCGAGUGUUUGGGUGUCAAGCCCGAGCGCGUAAUGAAAGUGAACGGAGGUGGGAACCCGCAAGGGUGCACCAUCGACCGAUCCUGAUGUCUUCGGAAGGAUUUGAGUAAGAGCAUGGCUGUUGGGACCCGAAAGAUGGUGAACUAUGCUUGAAUAGGGUGAAGCCAGAGGAAACUCUGGUGGAGGCUCGCAGCGGUUCU